UUUCCGUAGGUGAACCUGCGGAAGGAUCAUUACUGAGUGUUUUGAGUUCUACUCAAAUCCUCCCACCCUUUGUUUAAAUGACCUGUUGCUUCGGUGAGACUGACAACUUGUUGUCGGUUGGCUGAUUUCACGAUCAGUGAGCUAGUUUGCUCACCGAAGUUUUUUACAACUCUUUUAUUUCAAGAUAUUUGAGAAAACAAAACAAAAAAUUAAAACUUUCAACAACGGAUCUCUUGGUUCUGGCAUCGAUGAAGAACGCAGC
rnacentral:misc_RNA from 1 species